rnacentral:lncRNA from 1 species
GAUAAUAAGGUUGUCGCUUGAUGCUUAAUAGCUCUUUGUUUCUUUAUACAAGUUUAUUUGAAAACUCAACUUUUUCUGAGAUUAUUUUUCUCUCAUUCUUAGAUCCACAUUUAAAUUACAUUUAGCAUUUGAUUAUGUAUUUGUUGUGGAUGGUUUAGCUCUAAAUAUCAAUUAUAUGGAUAUGGCAUCAAUAUCCUAACCUACUCUUUUAUGACAGCAUGAGUGAAGCAGGCAGAGCUUUACGAAAAAGAUAAGAAAAAGCGUUGACUAGCUAACUGAGUUGACCUCUGUUUACUAUAAGUGAGCCUCUGCCUCUCCCAGUUCUUGAAUCAUUAUCUUUCUGCACUUGUAAUCUUACUUUUCAUUGAAACUUUCCUCCCAAAAUCAACUUUUCCUUCAUUUAUAUUGGGUCUUUUAAGGUUCUAUUGUCUGGGGGAAGUAACAGUGAGGAAGGAGAAAUGGUGGAGCCAGAGAAUUAUGGGCAUCAACAUCCACUGCUACUUCUGUUGAAUGAAGAGCAGCUGAUCGACAAUCAAAGUGGAGUAGCUGACUGCUCCAAGUGUGGGGAGAAGGUGUCUGCUCUAUGUUUUAGCUGUACGGAAAACUGUGGAUUUUACCUUCACAAGAUAUGUGCUGAUGCACCUUUGAAGCUUAAUCACCCUUUUCAUCGCGACCAUCCACUUGAUCUUAUGCAUCAUAGUCUUCUUAUUAAGAAUCUAGCUUAUUGAUCGAGGUACAUUUGUGAUUUUUGCGAUAAAGGCGGUAAUGAAUUUGUUUAUCAGUGCUCUUGCAAUUUGGACUUGAAUAUUAAAUGCGGUUUAUUUAUACUUGAUAUUUCCGAAAAUAAUUUGAAAGAGAUUGAGCAUGUUGCCCUUCGAGAUCCAUUAAUUUCCACUAAAAAUGAUGAUGAAGAACUUAAACAUGUUGUUAACUGCUUUGGGUGCUGGCAACCAUUAACAAAAUAUACAUAAUUUUAUCUUGAUCGUAAAUUUAAUUUACAUAAAAAAUGUGCUGAACCGCCUCUCGAGAUGAGUCAUAUGUGCCAUAUUUUGCAAUUCAGUAGCGAUCGACUCCCUUACAAGAUAUGCCAAGUAAUAAGGCAAUACCAAUCUAACCACAAGGUUAGCAACUCUAAUGGUGAUACCAUUCAACAAAUAAUCAAUCAAAACAAUUAAAGAUCUCUAAAAACCAAUGGAGAAACAAUUCAAAACAACCAAACCUAGAAAUUGUUGGUGCUUGGGAAACAUAAACCAAUGAGAAUUAACCAAAAAGUUUUGAGUUGUAUAACCGUUUCAUUUUUUUUAAGGUUUUACUCGCUCCAACUUAUAAUUUAGCAUGCAAAAAAAUUACAUGAAAAUAAACCUCAACAAUAUAAUAUAACCCACCAACUAAAACAAUGCACUAAAUACUAAUCAAUGUAUAACCAAAUUAACAACUUCUUUAAAGAAUAAUAGAUGAUGGACCAAGAAUAUAAACAACUUUUGUUUCUCAAUUUCGAAGUGUAAUGCAAAUUAAAUUUCACUACUAUUUAUAGAGUUAUCAUGCUUUUUUUAUAGAUAAAGAAUUAUACUAUAGGUAUCUUUUUAGAUAGAAAUCUCAUAGAUAUAACUAAUUAAUUGGUUAACUUUUAUGAUUUAAGAGAUAUAAUUUAUCAAUAUGAAAAGUGAUAAAUCUUAAUUAAUAAUCAAGUGAUAUAACUAUCGAUUAAUGAUAAUUUUUCAUUUGCAACUAUUGAAACAUAUAUAUUUUGCAAAGUUCCAACACUUUCAUUUUCAAAAUAUUCUAAAUUUUAAUAAUAUUGAGAAUCAAUUAUAUUAAUGAAUGUGUCUUACGAUUGAAUCAUCAUUUAGUGAAAACAUGUUAAAGUUAAUCGAGAUUGCAUGAUAAAUCCUACUUUAAAUCAACUAUUGUAUUUAAUUAACCGAACAAAUCCCACAUAAUGGUUCAACAUUAGUCAAUUCAUAAUAUCUAAGGAUACUAUUAUGACCACGUGUCUAUAAUCUCUUUUCAUGAGUUUUAUUAAAGUCAAGCUCCUAAGUUCUUAAAAGGUCAAAUUUAAUUGCCAUAUCAUAUUGACCAUUAAAAAUUAAUAGUAAAUGUCAAUCAAUGGAUUCUUUUACUAAAUUUUUACAGUUCAAAUAUUAAACUUAAUUGUUUUUUUUAAAAUUGAACACUUUUUACAUUUGCACCCUUAAACCAUUAUUCUAUAAUACAUCGUUAUACAUAAAUUCAAAAUAUAUUAUAUUAUUAACAUUAAAAUUUUAAUAUUAUUAAUAAUUAACCCCUAAUUAAUAUAUAAUUCUAGAUUUUUUUUAUAAAAUAAACCAUUAGCUACUUUUAUUUAUUUUUAUUACCAUUCACAUUGAAUAAAGUAAAAUUUUGAUCCUAUUUUUAUAUUUUAGUACUCACUAAUAUUUAAUAGUUUUUAUGGAGACUAAAAAUGGGGCCGACUCAUUGGAACACUGGCUCUGCGUGAAGCGAUUCCCAUUAACGACAACCCACAGUGAUAGGACUCAACAGGCUAGUGUUAAGAAAAAUUGCUGAAGAUAAUAAUAAGUUUUAAAAAUUAUUAAUGGCAUACUUGUCGUUUAGUGUAUACAAUUUUGAAGUUCAUCCUUUUAUAUAUUAAAUAAAUAGACAAUUGUUUUUUUUCCUUGGAUUUAUAAAAAACCAUAAAUAUAAUAUCAAUCAAUCUCGCAAAAAGAGGUUUUUGAAUCACUCUAUUUUAUAUCAAAUACUUUAUUGGUUCUUGAAUCAUUCCAUUGAAACUUUGCUCUCAAAAUCAAGUUUUUCCUUCAUUUAUAUUCCAUCUUAAGAGAUAAGAGAGGAAGGAGGUAUGGAGGAGUCAAACAAUUAUGGGCACCAACAUCCCCUGCUUCUUAUGUUGAAUCAAGAGCAGCUGAUCAACUAUGGCAGUGGGGUAGCUGACUGCUCGAGGUGCGGGGAGGAGGUGUCUGCUCCAUGUUUUUGCUGUGCUGAGCACUGCGGGUUUUACCUUCACAAGGUAUGUGCCGAGGCACCUUUGGAGCUUAAUCAUCCUUUUCAUCACGAUCAUCCUCUUCGUCUUAUGCAAAAUGCACCUUAUUCAUCUGCUGGAGACUACAUUUGUGAUUUUUGUGAUAAAGGGGAUAAUAAGUUUGUUUAUCACUGCUCUUGCGGAUUGGACUUUCAUAUUAAAUGUGCUUUGUUUACAUUUAAUAUUGCUGAAAAUAAUUUGAAAGAGCUUGAGCAUGUUCCCCUUCAAGAUCCAUUGAUUUCCACUGAAAAUGGUGAUGAAGAACUUGAAGGUGUUAGCAAGUGCUUUGGAUGUAGGGAACCAUUAACAAAGUAUACACACUUUUCUCCUGACUGUGGAUUUAAUUUACAUGAGAAAUGCGCUAAGCUUCCUUUCAAAUUGAAUCAUAUGUUGCAUCGCGAGCAUCCUCUUGUUCUACAAUUUAAUAGCGAACGGCUCUCCUGCAAGAUAUGCCUAGUAACAAGGCGAAGAGAAUUUGUUUAUGGUUGUUCUCCUUGUAAGAUUGCUAUCCCCAUUGAAUGUGCAUUACCAUCACCCAUUAUUGAAGAUAAAAGCCAUCCGCAUCCAUUCACUCUGUUUCCAAGACGACUACCCUUCAUUUGUGAUGCAUGCGGUGUCGAAGGAAAUUACGCUUCCUACAUUUGUUGUACAUGCAACAUAAUAGUCCAUAAAGAGUGCAUUUCAUUGCCAUGUAUCAUCAUUAGCAAGUGGCAUGAUCAUCGCAUUUAUCACAAAUACUUUCUUCCACGAGAUUUUAGAAAUUCAGACUGCGAUAUUUGUCAUGGUGAGGUCAAUAUUGUAAUAUUACAUUUCAUGCCCGUUGUGUGACAGAGGAUAAAUAUUCAUAUUCUAUACCUUCACGCGAAGAUGAAGAUGAGAUAUCCAAUGAAAGUUCCAUCACCGUUUUGGAGUGGAAUGAUGCCAAAGAAGCUACAAAAAUAAAACACUUAAAGCAUAUGCACAAUCUAAUGCUAAGUGCUUCCGUUGGAGGGUAUGAAAACAGUUGUGAUGGGUGUAUGUUACCAAUCUCAGAUCCAUUUUACUAUUGUUCGGAAUGUGAUUUUUUUCUUCAUAAAGCUUGUGCUGAGUUACUCAGGAUGAAGCGUGUUUGGCAUCAUACAUAUUGCAAACAACCACACAUCCUCAUUUCAGAUAAAGUUUUUCAUUGUGAAAUGUGUUUUCACAAAUCUAAUGCCUUUGCUUAUGAAUGUAGUGAAUGUGAGAGUAGGACAUGUCUCAGAUGUGUGAUUGCUCUUACUCCUGGUGCGCGAACAUGUUUGAAACAUGAACACCCCCUCCGUUUCUACAGAGAGUACAAAGGGAAGUGCAAUGCUUGUAGUUGUUUUUCAUGGCGGGCAUUUUGUUGUAAGGAUUGCAAUUUUGUGCUACAUCUUGGAUGUUUUUCACUUCCCAUUACGACUCAACACAAAUGUGAUGAGCAUCUUCUGUCACUCACUGAUCAUGAUGAUAACAAUUAUUCAGAAAGUCAUUAUUGCGAUAUCUGUGAAGAAAGUCGAGAUCCAAAUCGUUGGUUUUAUCAUUGUGCAAUAUGCAAUACUUCUGCUCAUGUUAAUUGUGUUCUUGGAAAAUAUACAUUCCUUAAACUCGGGAGCAUCUUUGAAGAAACAGAUCAUCCACACCCACUCACCAUUGUGAAGAAGAAAUAUUACUAUCCUGAUUGUGAUAAAUGCGGUAAGCCUUGUGAAGAUUUGGCUCUUGAAUGCUCAAAGUCUGAGUGCAAAUAUAUUGUCCACUGGAAUUGUGCAGCACCUAGAAAACUACAGUGUCUGAUCGGUUGGCCCAUGUAGUAAUUUAGAUCUAAUUAUAUUUGAGACCUACCACUUCAUUUAUAGGAAAACUCAAGACUGAAGAAUAGAGUUUGAUCUUUGUCUUGUUACUUGUAAUGCUAGUUGUUGUUGUCAUAAUAAUUUGGUUUUUCUGACUUCGAAGUUUUAAUGUAAUAAUUUGAAGCCAAUACUGAUGAGAUUUUCAUUGGUGUUUGAUUGUUGAUUUUAAAAUUUCUUGUAAUUGGACAAUUUGAUUGUACUUAACAUCAAGACUAUGAUAAUAAGGUUGUCGCUUGAUUCUUAAUAGCUCUUUGUUUCUUUAUACAAGUUUAUUUGAAAACUCCAACUUUUUUUUAGAUUAUUUUUCUCUCAUUAUUAGAUUCACGUUUAAAUUACAUUUAGCAUUUGAUUAUGUAUUUGUUGUGGAUGAUUUAGCUCUGAAUAUCAAUUAUAUGGAUAUGGCAUCAAUAUCCUAACCUACUCUUUUAUGACAGCUUGAGUGAAGCAGGCAGAGCUUUACGAAAAAGAUAAGAAAAAGCGUUGACUAGUUAACGGAGGUGACCUCUGUUUACUAUAAGUGAGCCUCUGCCUCUACCAGUUCUUGAAUCAUUAUCUUUCUGCACUUGAAAUCUUACUUUUUCAUUGAAACUUUCCUCCCAAAAUCAACUUUUCCUUUAUUUAUAUUGGGUCUUUUAAGGUUCUAUUGUUUGGGGGAAGUGACAGUGAGGAAGGAGAAAUGGUGGAGCCAGAGAAUUAUGGGCAUCAACAUCCACUGCUACUUCUGUUGAACGAAGAGCAGCUGAUCGACAAUCAAAGUGGAGUUGCUGACUGCUCCAAGUGUGGGGCGAAGGUGUCUGCUUCAUGUUUUAGCUGUGCGGAAAACUGUGGAUUUUACCUUCACAAGAUAUGUGCUGCUGCACCUUUGAAGCUUAAUCACCCUUUUCAUCGCGACCAUCCACUUGAUCUUAUGCAUCAUAGUCUUCUUAUUAAGAAUCCAGCUUAUUGAUCGAGGUACAUUUGUGAUUUUUGCGAUAAAGGCGGUAAUGAAUUUGUCUAUCAGUGCUCUUGCAAUUUGGACUUGAAUAUUAAAUGUGGUUUAUUUAUACUUGAUAUUUCCGAAAAUAAUUUGAAAAAGAUUGAGCAUGUUGCCCUUCAAGAUCCAUUAAUUUGCACUAAAAAUGAUGAUGAAGAACUUAAACAUGUUGUUAACUGCUUUGGGUAUUGGCAACCAUUAACAAAAUAUACAUAAUUUAAUUUGUCAUGAUGAGGUCAAUCCAGAGCUCGGAAGUUAUCGUUGUUUACAUUGCAAUAUUACAUUCCAUGUGCAUUGUGUGACAAAGGAUACAAGCUCAUAUUCAAUAGUUUCACUUGAAGAUGAAGAUGAGAUAUUCAAUGAAAGUUCCAUCACCGUUUUGGAGUGGAAUGAUGCCAAAGAAGCUACAAAAGUAAAACACUUCAAGCAUAUGCACAAUCUAAUGCUAAGUGCUUCCGUUGGAGGGUAUGAAAACAGUUGUGAUGGGUGUAUGUUACAAUUUUGGAUCCAUUUUACUAUUGUUCGCAAUGUGAUUUUUUUCUUCAUAGAGCUUGUGCUGAGUUACUUCGGAGGAAGCGUGUUUGGCAUCAUACAUCUUGCAAACAACCUCUCAUCCUCAUUUCAGAUAAAGUUUUUUUGUGUAAAAGAUGUUGUCAUAUAUCUAAUGGCUUUGCUUAUGAAUGUAGUGAAUGUGAGAGUUGGACAUGUCUUAGAUGUGUGAUUGCUCUUACUCCUGGUGCUCGAACAUGUUUGAAACAUGAACACCCGCUCCGUUUCUACAGACAGUACGAAGGGAAGUGCAAUGCUUGUAGUCUUUUUUCAUGGGGGCACUUUGUUGUAAGGAUUGCAAUUUUGUGCUAGAUCUUGGAUGUUUUUCACUUUCAAUUACAGCUCAUCACAAAUGUGAUGAGCAUUUUCUUUCACUAACUGAUCGUGAUGAAAACAGUUAUUCACAGUCAUUUUUGUGAUAUCUGUGAAGAAAGUCGUUAUCCAAAUAAUUGGUUUUAUCAUUGUGCAACAUGCGAUACUUCUGCUCAUGUUGGUUGUAUUCUUGGAGAAUAUCCAUUCCUCAAACUCAAGAGCAUCUAUGAAGAAAAAAAUCAUCCACACCCACUCUCCAUUGUGAAGAAGUAUUAUUAUCUUGAUUGUGAUAAAUGCGGUAAGCCUUGUGAAGAUUUGGCUCUUGAAUGCUUGAAGUCAGAGUGCAAAUAUAUUGUUCAUUGGAAUUGUGUAGCACCCAGUUCUCUACAAUGUUUCUGGGAUUGGUCCAUGUAGCAAUUUAGACCUAAUCAUAUUUGAAACCUACCAUUUGCAGGAAAACUCAAGACUGAAGAACAAAGUUUGAUCUUUGCCUUGUAAUGCUAGUUGUUGUUGUUGUCAUAGUAAUUGGUUUUUUCUACUUUUAAGUUUCAAUGCAAUAAUCUGAAGCCAAAACUUACGAGGUUUGCAUUGGUGUUUGAUUGUUGAAUUUAGAAUUUCUUGUAAUUAGACGAUGUGAUUUUACUUAGAUGAGGACUACGAUAAUAAGGUAGUUGCUUGAUGCUUAAUAGCUCUUUGUUUCUUUAUAUAAGUUCAUUUGAAAACUCAACUCUUUCUGAGAUUAUUUUUCUCUCAUUCUUAGAUUCACAUUUAAAUUAAAUUUAGCAUUUGAUUAUGUAUUUGUUGUGGAUGGUUUAGCUCUAAAUAUCAAUUAUAUGGAUAUGGCAUCAAUAUCCUAACCUACUCUUUUAUGACAGCAUGAGUGAAGCAGGCAGAGCUUUACG